GCCCCUGUGGCCUAGUGGUUAAGGUUUACGAGUGCUCGAUAACAGAGGAUCGCGGGUUCGACGCCCGCCGGGCGCC